rnacentral:misc_RNA from 1 species
AACGCAUAUUGCACCCCCUGGUAUUCCGGGGGGUACACCUGUUCGAGCGCCAUUUCAUUCUUCAAGUUUGACUUGGUGUUGGGGGGUCAUCCGGUGGGAUACCCCCGAAACUUUUAGGCCGUCCCCAGUAAUUUAGGGCGUCACGAAAUUAAAUCGGCGCCAAAAAUCACGGGGGGUGUGUUCAAAAUUAGUGGGAAAUGUCACUUUUUUGGAAUCAUCAACUAAUUUUUAGUGGGAAACUCAUUUAUUUUAGUGGGCGCCCCCUAAUUUUUAUUUUUGACCCCCAAAAAUAGAGGGACCCCCCUAAAUUUUAGGAAAGUGCCCGGUAAAAAUCAGUGGGAAACUUGCUUAUUUUAGCGGGUACCCCCUGUUUUUUUAUUUUGCACCCCCUAAAUUUAGAGGGUCCCCCUAAGUUUUGAGUUUGUGUUAGUGGGUAACCCCCUAAAAUAUCCUCAAAAUUAGUGGCUUACCCCCUAAUUUCUUCGGUUUUGGCCUCGGAUCAGGUGGGGAUACCCGCUGAACUUAA